UGGCAGGUGUGUCUUCUAACAAACUCUAUCGUCAAGUAUAAAAACAGGCAAGUUUGCGGGCUCCUCCGCUGUGUUCUGGUCCUUCACGAACUCGGACAGGUGGGAAUACACCAAACGCUCAGAUGAAACUCCGAGACAUUCGAAGAAAGUGUGUGCCAAUGAAAACCUGGUCCAUCCUAACCAAAGCCGAUCAAGACAAGAAUCACAGACUAAUGCCAACUGUCUACGCUGUCAUCUAACUCAACUGUACUUUAAUUCCAUCCAUCUGAACAACUUUCCAUGACAUGCAUCUUAUUUAUAUAGACUCAGUGGAUGGCUGGCGGAUCUUAUUCAGCCCUGGGGUUGAAGUUUUGUACAAGUGCUACUGCCAGCAUUAGCAGUCAUUGCUGUAUUUUUCCCCCCAUGAAUUUGAAAUAUAAUGACAUAUUUCUGUUGAUUUAAAAAAAAUUAUAUUAAUAUGAUAAAUACCUUUUUGAUCUUUGAACUGUCUUUAUCCAUAUAAAAAUGUGGAAGACCUGUUAAUUAUUUUGUCAUUUGAUAAUUUGCAAAGGGAAUAGAGCAUUUGAAGCUUUAAAAACGUCUUAAAAAAAUAUUUUGAACAUAUGAAUUAUUAUCCUUUACAAACCAAAUUUGUGUUUUCACAAAUCUCUUUCCUCGUGUCCUUUAUUUGAGCAUAAUACUGUACAUUCAACCUUUUGGAAUUACUGAUGAGUUCAUAAACACAACAUAUAAGAGCAAGGAAUAUACAAUAAAAAGGAGAGAUUCCUAUUUAAAGUAUGGAAACUCCAGAAGAAGGGAUCUAAUUCGGCACUAGACGGGAUUCGAAACACCACAAUAAUGUUUGAGCUUUUGAGAGCGGGAACGACACCAAAAGAGAAGGGAUCUAAUUCUGCACGACUCGAAACGCCGUAAUAGUGUUUCCAACAUUUUCCAGGUUAAUGUACCCAGUCUCUGCCAAGGUGUUACACAACUCUUGAUUAUGUGGUUUACAACACACCAUGUCAUGUUUCAGAAUGCCUCAGAAUGAAUAUUUCAGUACACCUUAAAUCUGUCCCAAUACCCUCUCAACCAUGUGUUAAAAUACUCCAGAAAUGUUGAGGUUUCAUCCCCUUUAAGGUGGUGGCAGUUCAGUUGUCGCUAGUUGUAGUGUUACAAAGCACUUAAUUUUAACAGUGCACCCCAUAAUGUCAAAGUGGAAUGAUGGUUUUAGAAUUGUUUUCGAAUUAAUAAAAAAAUUCAAGCUGAAA
ensembl:lncRNA